rnacentral:lncRNA from 1 species
GUGAUUACACCCAAAAUAAGAAAUUAUAUAUAGGGUUUGAUUUUUUAUGGGUUGUGAACUUGUGAUUCUCUUUUUGAUCACUUUUGUUUGUGUUUUUCUUGGAUUAGUGUUGUCUUUAUGAGUUUUUGAUUUUACCUUUCAUUUUACCGGCGACCUUUCUUUCAUAAAUUUAAUCGAGUUAGUACUUAUUGCUUUGAACGUUUUUAUUUUUUUCUAUCUUUUUUUAUUUUUUAAAUAUAUGCAAAGCAUAUAGAGUGAUGGAGAAGAGGAAAGAAGGAAGAUAGAAAUGUACAAGGUAAGCUUCAAGAAAAAAAAUUAAAAAAUUAGAGAACCCCAAGUUUCUGAAUCGCCUAGAGCCCCAGAAAUCUCAGGACCGGCUCUAGACCUAAUGGAGUUACAAAUUUGUAUUCAUUGAACCUAAACUUAACUAUGUGAUCGGAGUGGAUUCAGUGCAGCAUAGUGCACUUGAAUCAACCAUGUAUGUUAACGGAUCAGCAAACGGUGGUUAUGAAAAAAAAAGUUUCUCCAAUUCCUCUAUGGAUCCACAAGUCUCAACUUGUGCAUAUAAUCCUUUUACUUCCUCUGCUCUAAGCAUUUUCAUAGGUCUUUUAGUAUCUUCUUCUUCAAAGGAUUCUUCAUGAAAAAUUGAUCUGGUUCUACAAGAGCUAGCUUCUUCAUAGUUAGCGAAUGAAUGCCUAUGAAAUUAUAUGCUUAUUUUUCCUCCCAUGUCUUCCUAAAUUGAAGCAUUCAAGUUUUGAAUCUGUUUAACACGAGGUGACAGAUUCUAUUCUGUUGGGAAUGUUACUUCAUGC